GAUGAACGCUGGCGGCGUGCCUAAUACAUGCAAGUCGAGCGAACAGACGAGGAGCUUGCUCCUCUGACGUUAGCGGCGGACGGGUGAGUAACACGUGGAUAACCUACCUAUAUGACUGGGAUAACUUCGGGAAACCGGAGCUAAUACCGGAUAAUAUAUUGAACCGCAUGGUUCAAUAGUGAAAGACGGUUUUGCUGUCACUUAUAGAUGGAUCCGCGCCGCAUUAGCUAGUUGGUAAGGUAACGGCUUACCAAGGCAACGAUGCGUAGCCGACCUGAGAGGAUGAUCGGCCACACUGGAACUGAGACACGGUCCAGACUCCUACGGGAGGCAGCAGUAGGGAAUCUUCCGCAAUGGGCGAAAGCCUGACGGAGCAACGCCGCGUGAGUGAUGAAGGUCUUCGGAUCGUAAAACUCUGUUAUUAGGGAAGAACAAAUGUGUAAGUAACUAUGCACGUCUUGACGGUACCUAAUCAGAAAGCCACGGCUAACUACGUG
rnacentral:rRNA from 1 species